rnacentral:rRNA from 1 species
AUUGAACGCUGGCGGCAGGCCUAACACCUGCAAGUCGAACGAGUGGCGGACGGGUGAGUAAUGUCUGUGAAACUGCCCGAUGGAGGGGGAUACCUACUGGAAACGGUAGCUAAUACCGCAUACCAUCGGAUGUGCCCAUAUGGGAUUAGCUAGUAGGUGGGGUAACGGCUCACCUAGGCGACGAUCCCUCGCUGGUCUGAGAGGAUGACCAGCCACACUGGAACUGAGACACGGUCCAGACUCGUACGGGAGGCAGCAGUGGGGAAUAUUGCACAAUGGGCGCAAGCCUGAUGCAGCCAUGCCGCGUGUAUGAAGAAGGCCUUCGGGUUGUAAAGUACUUUCAGCGAGGAGGCGUUACUCGCAGAAGAAGCACCGGCGAACUCCGUGCCAGCCGCCGCGGUAAUAC